rnacentral:lncRNA from 1 species
GGGGCGUAGGUUUCACUAGUGGCUUCUCUCGAGAAAAAUAGCAGGCGGUGGGUAGAUAAAUUAUUGUUGGGCAAUUGACAGAAAAGCAAAUAAUUAUGAUGAUAUGCAUGACAAUGAUCAUGUAUAUAGGCAUCACGUCCAAAAUAAGUAGAUCGACUUAUGCCUGCAUCUACUUCUGUUAGUCCACACAACGACCGCUAUCCAGCAUGCAUCUACGGUAGUGAGUUCAUGGAGAAAGGGAGUAAUGCCUUAAGAACGAUGACACGAUGUAGACAAGAUCUAUUCAUGUAGGAAUAGACCCCAUCUUUUAUCUUUAAUGGCAACGAUACAUGAGUGUAAUGUCUCUUUCUGUCACUGAGAUUGAGCACCGCAAGAUCAAACCCAUCACAAAGAACCUCUUCCCAUUGCUAGAUAAAAGAUCAAGUUGGACACACAAAAACCAAAUAUUGGAGAAUAACUAAGAGGCUAAAAUAAUCAAGCAUGAAUAUGUU